GCCCACGUAGCUCAGUCGGUAGAGCACGGCAUUCGUAAUGCCGCGGUUGGGGGUUCGAAUCCCCCCGUGGGCU
rnacentral:tRNA from 1 species